GGCCUCGUAGCUCAGUUGGCUAGAGCAUUUGCUGCAGUAAAGCCUUCACCUUGCUGGCGUGGGUUCAAAUCCCACCGAGUUUU
rnacentral:tRNA from 1 species